GAUGAACGCUGGCGGCGUGCUUAACACAUGCAAGUCGAACGAGAAGUGAAGACGGAAACCUUCGGGCGGAAGGCUUUAUUUCGAGUGGCGGACGGGUGAGUAACGCGUGGGUAACCUGCCUCAUACAGGGGGAUAACAGUUGGAAACGACUGUUAAUACCGCAUAAGACCACAGCACCGCAUGGUGCGGGGGUAAAAACUCCGGUGGUAUGAGAUGGACCCGCGUUCGAUUAGCCAGUUGGCGGGGUAACGGCCCACCAAAGCGACGAUCGAUAGCCGAUCUGAGAGGAUGACCGGCCACAUUGGGACUGAGACACGGCCCAAACUCCUACGGGAGGCAGCAGUGGGGAAUAUUGCACAAUGGGGGAAACCCUGAUGCAGCCACGCCGCGUGAGUGAAGAAGUAUUUCGGUAUGUAAAGCUCUAUCAGCAGGGAAGAAAAUGACGGUACCUGAGUAAGAAGCCCCGGCUAACUACGUG
rnacentral:rRNA from 1 species